AGCGAACGCUGGCGGCGUGCUUAACACAUGCAAGUCGCGCGGGAAAGAGACUUUCGGGUCUUGAGUAGAGCGGCGGACGGGUGCGUAAGACGCGGGUGACCUAUCCGAGAGGCGGGGAUAACCCAGCGAAAGCGGGGCGUAAUACCGGAUGAGCCCCCAGGCGGAAACGCGCGGGGGCAAAGGAUGCUACUCGAUAGUGGCAUGUCCUCACGGAGGGCCCACGGCCUAUCAGCAGUUGGUGUGGUAACGCGCACCAAGGCGAAGACGGUAGCUGGUCUGAGAGGAUGGCCAGCCACACGGGGACUGAGACACGGCCCCGACUCC
rnacentral:rRNA from 1 species